rnacentral:lncRNA from 1 species
CCAGAAGCUCUUCCCAUCCCCAUCUGGCCGUUUCAGCAGACAACCCCACCCAGCCAAGAAUUUGAAACCUUCACGGCCCUGUGUAACAGAUUUACCUGUGUACCAAUACUACACGCUUUAUACUACACCCUACACACUUUAUACUGCACCCUAUACCCUACACACUUUAUACUACACCCUACACACUUUAUACUAUACCUUACACACUUUAUACUACACCCUACACACUUCAUACUACACCCUACACACUUUAUACUACACCUUACACACGUCAUACUACAUACUGCACCCUACACACUUCAUACUGCACCCUACACACUUUAUACUGCACCCUAUACCCUACACACUUUAUACUAUACCCUACACACUUUAUACUAUACCUUACACACUUCAUACUACACCCUACACACUUCAUACUACACUCUACACACUUUAUACUACACCUUACACACUUUAUACUACACCUUACACACUUUAUACUACACCCUACACACUUUAUACUACACCUUACACACGUCAUACUACAUACUGCACCCUACACACUUCAUACUACACCCUACACACUUCAUACUACACCCUACACACUUUAUACUACACCUUACACACGUCAUACUACAUACUGCACCCUACACACUUCAUACUACACCCUACACACUUUAUACUGCACCCUAUACCCUACACACUUUAUACUACACCCUACACACUUUAUACUAUACCUUACACACUUCAUACUACACCCUACACACUUCAUACUACACCUUACACACGUCAUACUACAUACUGCACCCUACACACUUUAUACUACACCUUGCACAUGUCAUACUACAUACUGCACCCUACACACUUCAUACUACACCCUACACACUUCACACUGCACCCUACCCACUGAAACCUACACAAUUCAUACUACACCUUACACACUGCACCCUACACACAUUAUACUACACCCUACACACUUCAUACUACACCCUACACACUGCACCCUACACACAUUAUACUACACCCUACACACUUCAUACUACAUACACCUUACACACUUAA